rnacentral:rRNA from 1 species
GCAAGUCGAACGAGAAAGGGAUUGCUUGCAAUCCUGAGUAGAGUGGCGCACGGGUGAGUAACACGUAGAUAAUCUACCUUCAAGCCCGGGAUAACUAUUCGAAAGGAUAGCUAAUACCGGAUGAAGUGUUUUGGCAUAAGUUGAAACAUGAAAGAUUGCCUCUUCUUGAAAGCAAUUGUUUGGAGAUGAGUUUGCGGACCAUUAGCUUGUUGGUGGGGUAAAAGCCUACCAAGGCUGCGAUGGUUAGCUGGUCUGAGAGGAUGAUC